CCUACGGGAGGCUGCAGUGGGGAAUAUUGGACAAUGGGGGGAACCCUGAUCCAGCCAUGCCGCGUGUGUGAAGAAGGCCCUCGGGUUGUAAAGCACUUUCAGUGAGGAAGAACGCCUGGUGGUUAAUACCCAUCAGGAAAGACAUCACUCACAGAAGAAGCACCGGCUAACUCCGUGCCAGCAGCCGCGGUAAUAUGGAGGGUGCGAGCGUUAAUCGGAAUUACUGGGCGUAAAGCGCGCGUAGGUGGCUUGAUAAGCCGGUUGUGAAAGCCCCGGGCUCAACCUGGGAACGGCAUCCGGAACUGUCAAGCUAGAGUGCAGGAGAGGAAGGUAGAAUUCCCGGUGUAGCGGUGAAAUGCGUAGAGAUCGGGAGGAAUACCAGUGGCGAAGGCGGCCUUCUGGACUGACACUGACACUGAGGUGCGAAAGCGUGGGUAGCAAACAGGAUUAGAUACCCUAGUAGUC
rnacentral:rRNA from 1 species